GACAGAGGCCUCAAGCGUUAGGCGGAAUCACUGGGCUUAAAGCGUGUGUAGGCGGAUCGUUAAGUGUCUUGUGAAAUCCCACGGCUCACCCGUGGAACUGCUGGGCAUACUGGCGAUCUUGGGCCAACUAGGGGCAACUGGAACAAGCGGUGGAGCGGUGAAAUGCGUAGAUAUCGCUUGGAACGCCAAAGGUGAAAACAGGUUGCUGGGGGUGUGCCGACGCUGAGACACGAAAGCCAGGGGAGCAAACGGG
rnacentral:rRNA from 1 species